rnacentral:rRNA from 1 species
CCUACGGGUGGCAGCAGUGAGGAAUAUUGGUCAAUGGGCGCGAGCCUGAACCAGCCAAGUCGCGUGAGGGAAGACGGUCCUAUGGAUUGUAAACCUCUUUUGCCGGGGAGCAAAAGACGCCACGCGUGGCGUACCGAGCGUCCCCGAAGAAAAAGCAUCGGCAAACUCCGUGCCAGCAGCCGCGGUAAUACGGGGGAUUAGAUCGUUAUCCGGAAUUAUUGGGCGUAAGGGGUGGGUAGAUGGCAUAACAAGUCGUUGGUAAAAAUGCUGGGCUAAACCCAAUAGGGCAAAAGAUACUGUAAAGCUAGAGUGUGACAGAGGCAAGUGGAACUACAUGUGUAGCGGUAAAAUGCGUAAAUAUAUGUAAGAACACCAGUGGCGAAGGCGGAUUGCUGGAUCGAUACUGACAUUGAGGCACGAAAGCGUGGGGAGCAAACAGGAUUAGAUACCCGUGUAGUC